rnacentral:rRNA from 1 species
GAAGACGACUCCUACGGGAGGCAGCAGUGGGGAAUAUUGCACAAUGGGCGCAAGCCUGAUGCAGCCAUGCCGCGUGUAUGAAGAAGGCCUUCGGGUUGUAAAGUACUUUCAGCAGUGAGGAAGGUGGGUAUGUUAAUAGCAUAUUCAUUUGACGUUAGCUGCAGAAGAAGCACCGGCUAACUCCGUGCCAGCAGCCGCGGUAAUACGGAGGGUGCGAGCGUUAAUCGGAAUUACUGGGCGUAAAGCGCAUGCAGGUGGUUUGUUAAGUCAGAUGUGAAAGCCCGGGGCUCAACCUCGGAAUUGCAUUUGAAACUGGCAAACUAGAGUACUGUAGAGGGGGUAGAAUUUCAGGUGUAGCGGUGAAAUGCGUAGAGAUCUGAAGGAAUACCGGUGGCGAAGGCGGCCCCCUGGACAGAUACUGACACUCAGAUGCGAAAGCGUGGGGAGCAAACAGGAUUAGAUACCCUGGUAG